CCUACGGGGGGCUGCAGUAACGAAUCUUCCACAAUGCACGAAAGUGUGAUGGAGCGACGCCGCGUGUAGGACGAAGUCCUUCGGGAUGUAAACUACUGUCAGGGGUAAGAUCUACCCCAGAGGAAGAGGCGGCUAACUCUGUGCCAGCAGCCGCGGUAAUACAGAGGCCUCGAGCGUUAGGCGGAAUCACUGGGCUUAAAGCGUGUGUAGGUGGAUGCCUAAGUACCUUGUGAAAUCCCACGGCUUAACCGUGGAACUGCUGGGUAUACUGGGUGUCUUGAGCCACUCAGGGGCGAGCGGAACUAACGGUGGAGCGGUGAAAUGCGUAGAUAUCGUUAGGAACGCCUAUGGUGAAAACAGCUCGCUGGGUGUGCUGACACUGAGACACGAAAGCCAGGGGAGCAAACGGGAUUAGAUACCCGGGUAGUC
rnacentral:rRNA from 1 species